CCCUAAAGUCGGGCUCGAUCCAGAGAUAAAAUCGAAGGCCAGCCCUCUCUAUUCCCCAUGGAAAGCUCCUCCGUCAUGCCCCUGCCCUCUGCUUAACUCCGGUUGCGCGCGUCUCCCCUGGAUUGCGCCCUACGCUUGCCCUGCCUGCUUGUAGCUCAUUGUCGUCCUCCCCGGCUCGUCCCUCCCUCGCCUGGGCGCCGCUGCCGACUCGACCGGCAGCUGGGGGGCGGUGGAUGCCUCGCCGGGGUGCGGUGCUGCUGCCAAGCCGCCGCUCCCAUGGCCGUGGAGAGCUCUGGCAAGCCACCGGACGGUUGAACAGAACUCCACCAACAGCGCCGGGUUAGGUAGUCGCCCUGACUCCUUGCCGGACUUCUCGGAAUCCUUCGCCGAGGCUCGGGUGGCGCCGCCGCAGCCAACACUUCACCAUUGCCGGGCCGCCAUCUGCCAUGGACAUGUAUUGGCACAGCGCGAUUCAUGGAGAAGAACAGGUGGUUAAAGAGGAGUCACGUAUCGAGGAGUUCGAUUCGAUCUAGGUGGCGUCUCCCAGUUGACUUGCGCCAAGGAUGAUCCUUAGUUUGUUUUAUAUUUAUCUUUUAUUUUGUAAGACUUUCGCUAUGUAAUAAGUACUCUGAUUAUAUUGUGACUUUUAUCUCUAUACACUCUGUUAUUAUAUAU